rnacentral:SRP_RNA from 2 species
GCCAGGUGUGGUGGUGCGCACGUGUAGUUCCAGCAACUUGAAGGCUGAGGCAGGAGGCUCACUUGCACCCAGGAGUUCUAGGCUGCAGUGAGCUAUGCAGUGUACUCCAGCCUGGGUGAUAGAGCAAGACCCUGUCUCAA